rnacentral:snRNA from 1 species
UGCUAAAAGUGAUGAUGUGUCAA